UACGUAGGAUGCAAGCGUUGUCCGGAAUUAUUGGGCGUAAAGAGCGCGCAGGCGGUUUGACAAGUCAGAUGUGAAAGAGGCCGGCUUAACCGGCAAGGGUCAUUUGAAACUGUCAGACUAGAGUACAGCAGAGGAUAGUGGAAUUCCCGGUGUAGUGGUGAAAUGCGUAGAUAUCAGGAGGAACACCAAUGGCGAAGGCAGCUCGCUGGGACGGUACUGACGCUGAGACGCGAAAGCGUGGGGAGCAAACAGG
rnacentral:rRNA from 1 species